CAUUAGGUUUUAAGCGCAUUUUAUAUGAAUCGUAUCCGAGACCUGCGUUAGGGUGGGUGACCAGAGUGCCUGCUGUAAAGGGGAGCUUAAACGAUAAUAAUUGUACUUGAUUGGGAGGGAGAGCGCAAAGGUAUGGUUCUGCCCAGGGUGCCAAUAUGUAUAGCGCCGGCACAGAUCGUAUCAAUACAAAUCGAACUAUUGUCCGUAAAAAAAAAAAAAAAAAACCAAAAAACAAUAGUUUUAUACGACGAAUUUUCGUUCGUUUCGAUUGCGAGG